UUGCCCUUUGCCUUGUGAUCUUUGUUGGACCCUUAUCAGUAGUUCUGCUUUUGCCCUUUGUCGUGUUCCCUGAGAAGCAUGUGAUCUUUAUUAGACCCUUAUUAGUAGUUACGCUUUUUACCCUUUGAAGCAUGUGAUCUUUGUACCUACUCCCUGUUCUUACAACCCCUCCCCUUUUGAAAUCCUUAAUAAAAACUUGCUGGUUUGAGGCUCAGGCGGGCAUCACGGUCCUACCGACAUGUGAUGUCAUGCCCAGAGGCCCAGCUGUAAAAUUCCUCUCUUUAUACUGCUGCCUUUAUUUCUCAGCCGGCCAACACUUACGGAAAAUAGAACCUACAUUGAAAUUCCUGUUUCCACUCUGGCUGGAGACUUAAACUUCGUGUGAAUACUGACAAUAAAAACCAUAGGGAAGAGACGUCUGCGUCAGAGACCACCUUCAUACCUGGAAAAGUAUAAUGUUGGUUCGAGAUCAAGAAGGAAUCUGGAUACCAUGUGCCAGACCAGUCAAAGAAUCCUGUGUCAAAACUGGGAGAACGAACAAGCCUUCAUCGCCAUGGCACAUUUAUAUAAAAAGAAAGGGAGAGAUGUUGCGGGAAGUCAGGGACCCCAAACGGAGGGACCGGCUGGAGCUGCGGCAGAGGAACAUAAAUUGUGAAGAUUUCAUUUUAAUAUGGACAUUUAUCAGUUCCCAAAUAAUACUUUUAUAAUUUUUUAUGCCUGUCUUUAAUCUCUUAAUCCUGUUAUCUUUGUAAGCUGAGGAUGUACGUCACCUCAGGACCACUGUGAUAAUUGUGUUAACUGUACAAAUUGAUUGUAAAACAUGUGUGUUUGAACAAUAUGAAAUCAGUGCACCUUGAAAAAGAACAGAAUAACAGCGAUUUUUAGGGAACAAGGGAAGACAACCAUAAGGUCUGACUGCCUGCGGGGUCAGGCAGAAUACAGCCAUAUUUUUCUUCUUGCAGAGAGCCUAUAAAUGGAUGUGCAAAUAGGAGAGGUAUCGCUAAAUUAUUUUCCUAGCAAGGAAUAUUACAUAUUAAGACCCUAGGAAAAGAAUUGCAUUCCUAGGGGGAGGUCUAUAAACGGCCGCUCUGGGAAUGUCUGUCUUAUGCGGUUGAGAUAAGGACUGAGAUACGCCCUGGUCUCCUACAGUACCCUCAGGCUUACUAGAGUGGGAAAAAACUCCGCCCUGGUAAAUUUGUGGUCAGACCAGUUCUCUGCUCUCAAACCCUGUUUUCUGUUGUUUAAGAUGUUUAUCAAGAUAAUACGUGCACCGCUAAACAUAGAACCUUAUCAGUAGUUCUGCUUUUGCCCUUUGCCUUGUGAUCUUUGUUGGACCCUUAUCUGUUGUGGGAAGUCAGGCACCCCGAACAGAGGGACCAGCUGGAGCCGUGGCAGAGGAACAUAAAUUAUGAAGAUUUCGUGGACAUAUAUCAGUUCCUAAAAUUAAUACUUUUAUAAUUUCUUAAGCCUGUCUUUACUGCAAUCUCUGAACAUAAACUGUGAAGAUUUCAUGGACAUUUAUCACUUCCCUAAUAAUACUCUCAUAAUUUCUUAUGCCUGUCUUACUUUAAUCUUUUAAUCCCGUUAUCUUCGUAAGCUGAGGAUGUACAUCACCUCGGGACCCUGUGAUGAUUGCGUUAACUGUACAAACUGAUUGUAAAACAUGUGUGUUUGAACAAUAUGAAAUCAGUGCACCUUAAAAAAGAACAGAAUAACAGCGAUUUUAGGGAACAAUGCAAGACAACCAUAAGGUCUGACUGCCUGCGGGGUCAGGCAGAAUACAGCCAUAUUUUUCUUCUUGCAGAGAGCCUAUAAAUGGACGUGCCAAGUAGGAGAGAUACCACUAAAUUCUUUUCCUAGCAAGUAAUAUUAAAUAUUAAGACCCUAGGAAAAGAAAUGCAUUCCUAGGGGGAGGUCUAUAAACGGCCGCUCUGGGAGUGUCUGUCCUAUGCGGUUGAGAAAAGGACUGAGAUACACUCUGGUCUCCUGCAGUACCCUCAGGCUUACUAGGAUUGGGAAACACCAGCCCUGGUAAAUUUCAGGUCAGACUGGUUCUCUGCUCUCGAACCCUGUUUUCUGUUAAGAUGUUUAUCAAGAUAAUACGUGCACUGCUGAACACAGACCCUUAUCAGGAGUUUCUGAUUUUGCCUUGUCCUGUUUCCUCAGAAGCAUGUGAUCUUUGCUCUGCUUUUUUGCCCCUUAAAGCAUGUAAUCUUUUCCCUGUUCAUACACUCCCUCCCCUUUUGAAAUCCCUAAUAAAAACUUGUUGGUUUUGAGGCUCAGGGGGCAUCAUGGACCUACCAAUAUGUGAUGUCAUCUCCGGCAGCCCAGCUGUAAAAUUCCUCUCUUUGUACUCUUUCUCUUUAUUUCUCAGACCGGCUGACACUUAGGGAAAAUAGAAAGAACCUACGUUGAAAUAUUGGGGGUGGGUUCCCCCGAUACUUAUCAGUAGUUCUGCUUUUGCCCUUUGUCCUGUUCCCUCAGAAGCAUGUGAUCUUUGUUAGACCCUUAUCAGUAGUUCUGCUUUUUGCCCUUUGAAGCAUGUGAUCUUUGUACCUACUACCUGUUCUUACACCCCCUUCCCUUUUGAAACCCUUAAUAAAAACUUGCUGGUUUGAGGCUCAGGCAGGCAUCACAGUCCUACCAAUAUGUGAUGUCACCUCCGGCGGCCCAGCUGUAAAAUUCUUCUCUUUAUACUGUCUCUCUUUAUUUCUCAGCUGGCCGACACUUAUGGAAAAUAGAACCUACGUUGAAAUAUUGGGGGCGGGUUCCCCCAAUAUGGGAGGAUUGCUUGAGCCCAGGAAAUCGAGGCUACAGUGAGCCAUGAGGAAAAGGGAAGAGAAAAAGGAAUGGGAAGGGAAAGGGAAAGGAAAGAAAGGAAGGAGAAAAUAAGAAAAGGAAAGGAAAAAGAGAAAAAAGGAAGGGGAAGGAAGGAUCUUAUGAAAGAAUACCUAUAAUAUGAAUCAAUUAUAUGAAGUUCAGAAACAAGCCAAACUAAUUUUAUCAGUUAAUAGAGAAUACAUUGGUGGUACGACUAAAAAUUAAAAAGAAAAAAUAUUACAAAAAGCAGCAUGUUGCUUAUUUGGGGGGUGGCUAUUGUGAGCCGGGAGAGGCACACAAAGGUGUGUUGCUUGUAUGCUGGCCAUAUUUCUUUUUUUCUUUUGAGACGGAGUCUCAUUCUGUUGCCCAGGCUGGAG
rnacentral:lncRNA from 10 species